UCGUUUGCAAUGGAAGUUUAUUACAACACGCGUUGGAGACCAAGUAGCUCGUACAGUGGGUGAUGUCUCAAAAGAAAAAGUAAGCCUUGUACUGAUUUUGAUUAUUGCCUUGAUGCCUUAUUUGAAUUUUUUGAAUGCCUGACUUCUUAAUAGUUUCCUAAACAUUGAUGUCAUUUUUCUUUCAACUUUUGGUUUGCAAGCUAAUUGUUUAAUUGCUCAUGAUUUUUUCAGUUCUUACAGGUAUAGCAGAGGAGAUGGAUUUUUGACUAUUGUAUUUGGAUGUCAGUAACGAGGAAAUGUAGUCUCAUGGAUGGAAAUAAAAGAGAGUGUGUGGUGUUGUUUCUCUUAAGGAAUACGUUUAUAUUCCAUGUUCUUUUUGCUUCAGGUUUACAACUCUUUGGUCUGCUACAUCCUACAUAAUGCAUGUGUUCACCAACAAAAUUUCAGUUCUCUUAUUGUCAUAUUUACUAUUUCUCGGUAGUGAUUCUAGCACGUCAUUUGUGAAAUCCUACAUGAAAGAUUAAUUAACCAAUAUUGUUGUCUUAAGUCUCAGUAUUAUUUCAGUUUUACCUAAAGGACAAAAUGGAUCUAGGAAUAUUAUGUUGAAUCAUUGACUUGGUACAAUUUUUAUGCGAGGGGUGAUUACAGAGAACAAUAUUGGUUGGUUAUUAUCAAUUUCUUGCAUAUCAGUAAUUGAUAUUUACAGUGCUAACAUGAUAUUAAAGUUUAGUUGGUUAUUCCCUCGAAGAAAAGUUUAGUUGGUUAAAUUAUUAUUUUUAGCACUUCUCUUUAGAUUCAUUUUAUAGGGAUGUGAAAAUAGUAAUCAGGAAGCCACAUGUAUAAAUAUUGAAGUGCUGUUACUGCACCCUCUAUAUUCAAAAUAGUACCUUGAGGCUCAAAUUAUUGACAAAAUAGGUUUACUAAUCAAUUCCUCUAAAUAAACUUAGGUUGACUUUGCACAAAGUGUAAUUGAAUUAGGAUGAAAGAAGACUAUCCUCAAUUUUUCGUUCAUGUUUCCAAUCUACUGCUUAUCUGCUCUGCCUGAAUACUCAAGGCUACGAGGAAAGUACUUUUUACCAGCACAAUGUUUUUUAGCAAAGUGCAAUUGGUGCAUUUGUUGCUAAGAUAUAUAAUCAAGUGAUACUCUAUCUUGUUUGGCUCUUUAUUCUAUGAGAGGAAUUGAAAGAUUGAAUUAUAUAUUUGAUAUUACCAACAUACAUCUCUUUUUUCUUUUGACAGUGCACUAUAUGUGUUUGCUCUAGGGCAAGGAGGCGAUGAUGAGCCCAAGGCGGCUAAAGCAAUAUCUUCCCCAUCCAGGAGCUCCAAAUAUGUGUCUCCGCAUGAAGGAUCCAGACCAUGGUCAUUGGAGUUUGAACAUGACACUGUUGAUGGAGAGAAGAAGAGAUGCCUCACGUACAAUAUCGAUUGGGUUGAUGCUGUUGCCUCCCUCCCUUAUACAUGUUUGUUUCGACAUGAGCCACAUAUAUUAUGAUUUACCUGACAUGAAUUCUAUUUAUCAUGUAAAAUGUACAAUAAAAUUACGAGUUUUAAGUGUUGCUUGCUUUUCAACACCUAUUUAGAUUAUGAUGGCAAUAGUUUCUUUUCAUGGUCAGACGUGGACUUGGUUGAGAGGCCAUGGGGAG
rnacentral:lncRNA from 1 species